rnacentral:SRP_RNA from 1 species
UCGUGCUAGAUGGGGAGCUGGCGGUGCCCUGUACCCGCAACCCGCCUUAGCGGGGUUGAACUCCCUCUCGAGGUCGGGCCCUGUAGGACUGGCGUCGCCACGUCGUGUUGAAGGUUGGGUCCCGCGCGGCGGGGAACUGUGAAGCGGGUCAGGACCGGAAGGUAGCAGCCCUAAGCGGACCUCCUCGGGUGACGCGGGGUCUCCCAGCCGGAGCGAACGAGCGGCGUAAAGCUGGAGGGAACCGAUCGACAGAGGGUGCACGA